ensembl:lncRNA
CAAUGUAGUAAGGAAGACAAGUAUUUCUAGGAAAGCAAUUAAAAUAGUAUUAACAUGGAAUAAUAGAAGUAUGUACAGUGCUCUGAUGUAGUAUAGGGUGGCUAAUUUUGGGGAGGAGAGAGUGGGCCUAGGAGAAAAUCACAGAGGAGAUGAAGCCUGAAAAGGGGGUAAAGAAUUAGAAGGCAUUCUAAGAAACGAAGACUUUUUUUUUUUCAUUUCUGAGCCAGAAACUCAUUAAAGGCAAGCUGAUGGCAGACGCCAGAGUCUGUGUAGGAGAUGUUCUGUCUGCCUGUAACAGUCUUCCCCUCCCACACUUCCAAACUUUCCUUCACACUCACCCUCGAAGUAAGUAUCAGCUCAAACAUCACCUCCUUGGGAAACUUCCUGACCAUCGUUCCCUGCCCUGUGUCCCCCAGACCAGAGCCAGUUGUUCAAGAUGUACUAGCUCAUUUAUGACCCCAGCCUGUGUGGUUUGACAGGAAUGACUCCACCUACAGUCCAUCCAAGGUGGACAAAACCCAGCAGAGAAUGCAACCAACACAGGGAACACAGACAAAGAAGAAGAGAAGGAAGACCAAGCCUCACAUCAUCGUUGGAGCCCUGGAUUCAGCAAUGACCCAGGCUGGUUCUCACUCCUGGACAGUUCAACUUCCU